rnacentral:rRNA from 1 species
AUACGGAGGGGGUUAGCGUUGUUCGGAAUUACUGGGCGUAAAGCGCACGUAGGCGGACUGGAAAGUUGGGGGUGAAAUCCCGGGGCUCAACCCCGGAACUGCCUCCAAAACUUCCAAUCUAGAGAUCGAGAGAGGUGAGUGGAAUUCCAAGUGUAGAGGUGAAAUUCGUAGAUAUUUGGAGAAACACCAGUGGCGAAGGCGGCUCACUGGCUCGAUACUGACGCUGAGGUGCGAAAGCGGGGGGAGCAAACAGGAUUAGAAACCCUAGUAGUCC